rnacentral:tRNA from 3 species
GCCCCCUUAGCUCAAAGGGAAAGAGCGGCCGCCUUCUAAGCGGCGUGUCCGGGUUCGAAUCCCGGAGGGGGCGCCA